rnacentral:rRNA from 1 species
GAAGAUUUGACGAGAGAAGACCUGUCUCUGCUUAUUUUAAAAAAAUUAACCUGGAAGUUAAAAGGCUUCUAUUUCUUAGAGGGACGACAAGACCCUAUAAAGCUUUAUUUAUUAUAUUUUUAUAUACUUCAAGGAGACAAUACAAAUUUAUAAAUUUUAUUGGGGCGAUAAAUAAACAAACAUUAUUGGCCAUAACGUACUUAACGAAGUUUAUAAAACGUUUUUGAACUUACAACAAGUUACUUUAGGGAUAACAGCAUAAUUUCUUUCUAGAGUCCUUAUCGACAAAGAAGAUUAUGACCUCGAUGUUGAAUUGAG